GACGAACGCUGGCGGCGUGCUUAACACAUGCAAGUCGAACGAAGAGCGAUGGAAUCUUGCUUCUAUCAAUCUUAGUGGCGAACGGGUGAGUAACGCGUAAUCAACCUGCCCUUCAGUGGGGGACAACAGUUGGAAACGACUGCUAAUACCGCAUACGAUCUAAUCUCGGCAUCGAGGAUAGAUGAAAGGUGGCCUCUGCAUGUAUGCUAUCACUGAAGGAGGGGAUUGCGUCUGCUUUGCUAGUUGGAGGGGUAACGGCCCACCAAGGCGAUGAUCAGUAGCCGGUCUGGGAGGAUGAACGGCCACAUUGGGACUGGGACACGGCCCAGACUCCUACGGGAGGCAGCAGUGGGGAAUCUUCCGCAAUGGAGGAAAGUCUGACGAAGCAACGCCGCGUGAGUGAUGACGGCCUUCGGGUUGUAAAGCUCUGUUAAUCGGGACGAAAGGCCUUCUUGCGAAUAGUGAGAAGGAUUGACGGUACCGGAAUAGAAAGCCACGGCUAACUACGUG
rnacentral:rRNA from 1 species